GUCCCUUCGGGGACAUCCGAUAAAAUUGGAACGAGACAGAGAAGAUUAGCAUGGCCCUCCGCAAGGAUGACACGCACAAAAAAAACAUACGUAAAAAUAUG